UGGACUCUUUUACUCUUUUUGUCCAGCCGGUCAAAUUACGCGAAGUAUUUUUUGACUACAUCUGAGUUAACAGGGGAUGGAAAAUCUUCACCAUCCAUAGUUGUAAGCAUCAAGGCUCCACCGGAGAAAACCUUCUUCACAACAUACGGACCUUUGUAAUUCGGAGUCCACUUGUCCCUGUUAUCUGUACCGAGAGGAAGGAUCCUCUUCAAAACUAGAUCACCGAUCUGAUAGCUUCGAGGACGCACUUUCUAAUCAAAGGCUCUCUUCA
rnacentral:lncRNA from 1 species